CCUACGGGUGGCAGCAGUGGGGGAUAUUGCACAAUGGGGGGAACCCUGAUCCAGCGACGCCGCGUGGGUGAAGAAGCGCCUCGGCGCGUAAAGCCCUGUCUGCAGGGAAGAAAAUGACGGUACCUGAAGAAGAAGCCCUGGCUAACUACGUUCCAGCUGCCGCGGCAAUACGUAGGGGGCAAGAGUUAUCCGGAUUUACUGGGUGUAAAGGGGGUGUAGACGGCGGUGCAAGCCAGGAGUGAAAGGCCGGGGCCCAACCCCGGGACUGCACUUGAAACUGCGUGGCUGGAGUGCAGGAGGGGCAGGCGGAAUUCGUGGUGUAGCGGUGAAAUGCGUAGAUAUCAGGAAGAACACCGGUGGCGAAGGCAGCCUGCUGGACUGCAACUGACGUUGAGGCCCGAAAGCGUGGGGAGCAAACAGGAUUAGAUACCCUUGUAGUC
rnacentral:rRNA from 1 species